AGAGUUUGAUCCUGGCUCAGGAUGAACGCUAGCUACAGGCUUAACACAUGCAAGUCGAGGGGCAGCAUGAACUUAGCUUGCUAAGUUUGAUGGCGACCGGCGCACGGGUGAGUAACACGUAUCCAACCUGCCGAUGACUCGGGGAUAGCCUUUCGAAAGAAAGAUUAAUACCCGAUGGCAUAGUUCUUCCGCAUGGUAGAACUAUUAAAGAAUUUCGGUCAUCGAUGGGGAUGCGUUCCAUUAGGUUGUUGGCGGGGUAACGGCCCACCAAGCCUUCGAUGGAUAGGGGUUCUGAGAGGAAGGUCCCCCACAUUGGAACUGAGACACGGUCCAAACUCCUACGGGAGGCAGCAGUGAGGAAUAUUGGUCAAUGGACGAGAGUCUGAACCAGCCAAGUAGCGUGAAGGAUGACUGCCCUAUGGGUUGUAAACUUCUUUUAUACGGGAAUAAAGUGAGGCACGUGUGCCUUUUUGUAUGUACCGUAUGAAUAAGGAUCGGCUAACUCCGUGCCAGCAGCCGCGGUAAUACGGAGGAUCCGAGCGUUAUCCGGAUUUAUUGGGUUUAAAGGGAGCGUAGGCGGACGCUUAAGUCAGUUGUGAAAGUUUGCGGCUCAACCGUAAAAUUGCAGUUGAUACUGGGUGUCUUGAGUACAGUAGAGGCAGGCGGAAUUCGUGGUGUAGCGGUGAAAUGCUUAGAUAUCACGAAGAACUCCGAUUGCGAAGGCAGCCUGCUGGACUGUAACUGACGCUGAUGCUCGAAAGUGUGGGUAUCAAACAGGAUUAGAUACCCUGGUAGUCCACACAGUAAACGAUGAAUACUCGCUGUUUGCGAUAUACAGUAA
rnacentral:rRNA from 1 species